AGGUGGGUUUGGAAUGGUGUAAUGUGAUGAAAAGAGACGAGAUUGAAAAAGUGGUUAGAAGACUUAUGGUGAAUCAAGAAGGGGAAGAAUUGUGAAUGAUUCUUCCAGUGAUGCAUUAAAUGGCUUGCUACUAAUACUUUGGAACGUGUUGCGCCACUGACACAUGCAGUUGGAAAUAUGUUAAAGAGAGUUUUCGUCAUUGGAUUUUCAAUAGUGGUGUUUGGCAACAAGAUAUCUACACAAACUGGCAUUGGAAAAUAAACAUAUUUUAUAUAUAGUCUUCAAACUCCAACCUACUGUUAUUGUGAAGUAAACAAAGAACUGUAAUUUGAAAAACGUAUCUCCAGUCUGUUUCCAUGGGUGGUCGCGGCGGCUGAACACCCCACCUCUCUUUAACACAUUUUACAAUGUUUUCGUCAUGAAAAGUUGCAGGUUAUGUGCGCGUGAUAAUUUUGGAGAAAAGUUGUUUAUUAUAUCUUUAUCCAAUAUAUCUCAGCUUGUUUGAUUUGUGUUAUAGAAAGUGCUGCAGAGUAUCCGAAUGUAGUCCAACCUACCUCACUGUUUCUUAAUCCUAGUAAGUUCUGUUAAAAUUAUCUGACUCUACGUCUUGUGGUCACUUUACUUGAGCCACAGUUUAUGAUAUGCCUUUUUAAGAAGUUUGGUAGAUACUAUCUAAAAAAAAGGAUUUAAAAUCAUAUAUUUAGAAUUAGCUUCCAAAAAAGGCUUUUCACUAAUGCUGUAAUAUGUGGUAAUAAUUACUCUCCUCUGUUAACUAAUGAUCAUACCCUGCUAUUGAAUUGAGAUUGGAAUAUGUUUCCAUUAUGAAAAGGAAUCUAGUACUUGUGUAUUUAGUCUUUUCGAGAAUAAUAAACAUGACUUAUUCUUCUACUGUUUAUGUGCACUCACUCUUGGUGAGAUAGCUUAGAAUGCUAUGGUUUAUUUAAAAGGGAAUGUUUUCAAUAGUGCACUCACUUUU